rnacentral:rRNA from 1 species
GGUAAGUUUCGAUGGAAGCUAAUAUCUUAGUGGCGGACGGGUGAGUAACGCGUGAGCCAACCUGCCUUUGCAUUCGGGAUAACAGACCGGAAAACGACUGCUAAUACCGAAUAACGUACAUUGAUUGCAUGUUUGAUGUAACCAAAGAUCCGUCGUGCAAAGAUGGGCUCGCGUCUGAUUAGAUAGUUGGUGGGGUAACGGCCUACCAAGUCGACGAUCAGUAGCCGGACUGAGAGGUUGAACGGCCACAUUGGGACUGAGACACGGCCCAAACUCCUACGGGAGGCAGCAGUGAGGAAUAUUGGUCAAUGGUCGGAAGACUGAACCAGCCAAGUAGCGUGAAGGAUGAAGGUUCUAUGGAUUGUAAACUUCUUUAUACGGGAAUAAAACCUCCCACGUGUGGGAGCUUGUAUGUACCGUAUGAAUAAGCAUCGGCUAACUCCGUG